GACGACGCUGGCGGCGUGCCUAACACAUGCAAGUCGAGCGGGGUUGAAGCGAGGGGUAACUCGAGUUUCUACCUAGCGGCGGACGGGUGAGUAACGCGUGGGCAACCUGCCUCAAGGACUGGGAUAACAGCUCGAAAGGGCUGCUAAUACCGGAUAUGCCUGUGGCCUCGCAUGGGGCUAUGAGCAAAGGGGAAACCCGCCUUGAGAUGGGCCCGCGUCCCAUCAGCUAGUUGGUGAGGUGAAGGCUCACCAAGGCGACGACGGGUAGCCGGCCUGAGAGGGUGACCGGCCACACUGGGACUGAGACACGGCCCAGACUCCUACGGGGGGCAGCAGUGGGGAAUCUUGCACAAUGGGCGAAAGCCUGAUGCAGCGACGCCGCGUGAGCGAAGAAGGCCUUCGGGUUGUAAAGCUCUGUCUGGAGGGACGAAGGAAGUGACGGUACCUCCGGAGGAAGCCACGGCUAACUACGUG
rnacentral:rRNA from 1 species